CGAGAAUUUUUCACAAUGGGCGCAAGCCUGAUGGAGCGACGCCGCGUGGGGGAUGAAUGGCUUCGGCCCGUAAACCCCUGUCAUUCGCGAGCAAACGUUAUUAUUUAAAAGAUGAUAGCCUGAUAGUAGCGAAAGAGGAAGGGACGGCUAACUCUGUACCAGCAGCCGCGGUAAUACAGAGGUCCCAAGCGUUGUUCGGAUUUACUGGGCGUAAAGGGUGCGUAGGUGGUGGGGUAAGUCGGAUGUGAAAUCUCCGAGCUCAACUCGGAAAGUGCAUUGGAAACUACCCUGCUCGAGGGUUGGAGGGGGGACUGGAAUACUUGGUGUAGCAGUGAAAUGCGUAGAUAUCAAGUGGAACACCAGUGGCGAAGGCGAGUCCCUGGACAACUCCUGACACUGAGGCACGAAAGCUAGGGGAGCAAACAG
rnacentral:rRNA from 1 species